GGUUAGUUAGCUGCAGAAACUAGCGGGUUCGUUAGCUGCAGAAACUAGCAGGUUAGUUAGCUGCAGAAACUAGCAUCUUAAUUAGCUGCAGAAACUAGCAGGUUAGUUAGUUGCAGAAACUAGCAUCUUAGUUAGCUGCAGAAACUAGCAGGUUAGUUAGCUGCAGAAACUAGCAUCUUAAUUAGCUGCAGAAACUAGCAGGUUAGCUAACUUAGCUAAUUUUAGAGCUGCACAAAUUUCUGGUUAUUUUUAAAGGUUUUUUAUUUUAUUUUAUUUUGUACAAGUUUGGCUGCUGCUAAGUAAAAAGUGAAAUACCAGCAACAAAUUCAUGCUAGCUUGCUAGCACUUACGUGACUAGCUGGCUAGUCGUUGUGGAUUGCAGGUGGAUGGGUGUGUUUUUAUGUUGCAUAUUCAUGUACUUUCGUAAAUCCUGCUGUGUUUUUUUAUUUUAUUUAUUUAUUUAUUUUAAACGAGGCUAAAGAUGUAGAGGUGUUGCUAGGUCCUUUCUUUUUCCACAGAAGUUAUUGGUGAAAAUUUGCACAUGCGUGCGUACUUCUAACUUUCAAAUGUGGCACAGUGAUGUUUCCUUAGGGUAUCCUUUGGUAUCCUAAUGAGAAAAUCAAUCAGUUCAGAGAAUCUUGUGCUCAGUGUGGUGGUGGUGGUAUUAAAUUUUGGCUUGGUUUCAUUUCUGAGCGCGGCGUCUUGGCGUCUCCCUCGUUACUGUACGAUUGCUUUUCUCCUCCACACGAGACAGCUGUUGUGUAAUACGCUGAAAUCCGCGGUAAUUACGGACACCGGGGACCUUUACUUUUGUUUCUCCGAAGCAUUGAGACACCUACACUAAUCUCGGCGUUUUCCCGCUAACACCGAGCUCCUUUUAGAUAAUUCGUUUAAGACGGGAAAGCUUUCGUUCCUCCCCCCCAGGUGCCAUGCUGAUUAUUUCAUUUUAGCAUGUGAUUCACCGGCAGCGUGGCGAUGAAGCAGGCGUAAAGUGAGUCACGUAUCCCACGAACAUCUGUGUGUUACAGUGAGCAACGUUCACUCCAGCACCUUCUGCAUCCUGACGUUUAUUUUUAGAAAGAUUAAACCUCCUGGGAGCCAGACCUUUGGAGGUGAUCCUAGAUUAUACAUAAAUCCGCAGGGAGAAGUCGUGGAGCGCCGAGGUCGAAGGUACCGUAUAGCGGGGUCUUGUAAAAUGAGCUCCGGUCUUCACACCUGUGACGGAUGAGCUCACAUAAACGUGAAGGUCCUGCGGUGGAAGGUUAAUCGGGGGAAAUUUGUAUUCUCUCUUGAAGCUAGAGCUCAGGUGCAGGUUUAUAAGCCAUCUGGAGCACAACAACACAGCACGCGGCAUCUGUUUCCUUUCUAGUCGCUUUACUGUAAUAUGAUGUGUGGUUGAACAGCCUCCCCAGGCCCCGGCGCUCCUUCUGGACUAAUGUCUCCUCUCUGUAGAGCGAUCUUUAAUUCCUAAUUAUGUGCCUUGCCUGAUGCCAGGAAAUUACAGAAUUAAAGUCGAGUUAAAGAACAUUACCAGCGUUCAAUUUACGUCAUUUUCGGCAGCAGUUAACUCGUAAAGUCGGAUCUGUCGGCUCUUGAUGUAUUAUGCAGUGACUGAUGUUUGGCUGCGUCGCAUUUAUUCUCUCCUUAAAACGACGAACGAUUGGCUUUAUAAACGAUCAGGAAGUACAACAGGGCGCACGGUGGCUUAGUGGUUCAUCUCACACCUCCAGGGUCGGGGG
ensembl:lncRNA